AUUUGUUUAAUUUUUAAAAAAUUUCCUUAGAAUAUUUGAGUUUCUUGCUUCAAUGAGACAUUCAUAAAAGUGAACUUGUUCUAAGUGAGUUUGAAAUUUAUUCUGUUAUUUUGGUUCAAAAUAACUAAAAUAGUAAGUUAAAACUUAUGAUGUUUAAGAAUGCUUCAGCUUUUAAAAACAAGUCUAUCUUUGGUGUUUUAUUUAUAGCAAAUGAUAAAACUUAUUUUACUUUAAUUUCAGGAUGAACCAACCACAGGCAUGGAUCCCAAAGCCCGAAGAUUCUUGUGGAAUUGUGCCCUAAGCAUCGUCAAGGAGGGGAGAUCAGUAGUGCUUACAUCUCAUAGGUCUGUAGUGAAGUCUUGGCUUGGCUUUUACAUUGUGUUAUUUGUAAAUCUGCUAAAUAGUAUACAUGUUCAUUUAGUAAAAGCUAGAAAGUACAGCAAGGCCAAGGUUACAUUUAUCACCUGAAAUUGUAUUACUUGAAAACAUCUAUUGUUCUCAUUGGCUUAUGCAUGUUUGCAGGGAUUUCCUAUGCAAACCUAUGUGUACUUGUGUGUAUGUAUUUUUACAAACAAAAAUGCAAGCAUAGUGUAUAUAUAUACUCUGAUCUUUUUCACUUAAUAUUAUUGUGAACAUUAUUCUAAGUCAGUAAAUUUAAGUAUGUCAUCAUCUCUUAUAGCUGAAUGGUAUUCCAUUAGUAUAUAUCCUAAUUUAUUUAAUUCUUUCCAUUUGUUAGACAUUUGAAUUGUUUCCAACUUAUUCACAAUUCUAAAUGGCACUGCAGAGAGGAGCUUCAUCUGUAUAUCGACAUGUCUUUAGAAUAGGAUGUGAUUAUGCACUGGAAGCUGGGAAACUUUUUUCUUUGAAAUGCCAGAUGUCAUGGUGAUGUUGUGAUGUUUAUGGGAGCAUGUCUCUGAAACUAAAACUUUGUUCUGUUUUCCCACAGUAUGGAGGAAUGUGAAGCUCUUUGUACUAGGAUGGCAAUUAUGGUCAAUGGGAGGUUCAGGUGCCUUGGCAGUGUACAACAUCUGAAAAAUAGGUAAAAGAGACUAUUUCUUUAGGAUAGCACCUAUUUAGAAACCUUGAUGAUUAUUCUUUCAUUGGUGUAUAAAUGGUAGCUUAAAAAUAAAGAGAAAUUAAACUGGGAAAAAUAGUAUGGUGCAAAGAAUCAGGGCUUUGAAGUCAAACUGAACCAUAGUCAAAUUCUGUCUUUAUUAUAUACUGGUUGUUUGACUCAUAAGCAAGUUACUUAGCCUUUCUGAGAGUCUAUUUCCCAAGAAUAAUACUUCCUGGCUUUGCUUUAUUUAUGAAAUUAAAAAACUCACAUGACAGUGUGAUUAACAGCACAAGUUUUGGCGUCUAUGCAAAUGGGUUUGCUUCCCCUCUACCACUUAGGAACUUUGUAUCAUGGGCAAGUGACUAACUCCCUGGGCUUAAGUAACAUCUGUCAGACUUCAUGGAUCCAGGUGAGGAUUAAAGACACUGAGAAACAGGGCACUCAGCAUCAGGGCACUGAGCAUCUGGCACUGCUCAUAGAUUCUCAAUAAAUGAUAACUGGUUCCUUCUCUCUGAAACUGAUCUCUGGGUUUUUCAGGGACCUCCCAUUUUCAUGGCACAAGUUGGUUUCUCAGAGGUAAAUAUUCUUCUGAGAAGUUUCCUGGGGAUACUUCAUUUGGGUGUUUUUUUUUUUUUUUUCCUGCUUUCAGGUUUGGAGAUGGUUAUACAAUAGUUGUACGAAUAGCAGGAUCCAAUCCUGACCUGAAGCCUGUCCAGGAAUUCUUUGGACUUGCCUUCCCAGGAAGCGUCCUAAAAGAGAAACACCGGAACAUGCUACAGUACCAGCUUCCCUCUUCAUUAUCUUCUCUGGCCAGGAUAUUCAGUAUCCUCUCCCAGAGCAAAAAGCGACUCCACAUAGAAGACUACUCUGUUUCUCAGACAACACUUGACCAAGUAAGCUUUUAGUGUCAAAAAUAGAUUUUCUUCCCAGGUUGAUGAUUCCUGCCUACUCACACCUUCACCACAAGCCUGAGCACAGUUCAGACUAUCUGUGCUUGAAUUCCUCAUCUAUGAUUACUAGCAAUGCAUUUUACUAAACCUCUGUGAACCAAAAAGGAAGAUAAUGCUUUCUACCUGACAGAAUUAUUAUGAGAAUUUACUGAAUUAAUACUCCAAACAACUAUAAUUUAUUGAGUACCUAUCAUAGAUAGGGCAUUUUGCUAUGUGCCUUGUCCCAUUUAGAUAACAAAAACUACUAAACAGAUCCUGGCAUUUGAUAGGUUUUCAGUAAAUGUUCUCUUCACUCUUCCCUUUAAUCAAUGGAAGUUGGUGAUGUGGGAUUAACACAGAAUAUGAAUUUUUAAAUGAUUAUUAAUGUUUUUCAAGUAUCUUAUCUUCCCUCACACAGUUUUCUAGUUAAUCUACUUAUGCAAUUCUGUAUUCUCCUGCCUGACCUAAUUUCAACAUGAGGACAAUGCAAUUAGAAUAAAACUGCAGCUAGAAUAAAGAAAGAACAAGUCAAGAGGUACUUAUAAAGCCCUUCUUUGUUUUGACAGGUAUUUGUGAACUUUGCCAAGGACCAAAGUGAUGAUGACCACUUAAAGGACUUGUCAUUACACAAAAACCAGACAGUAGUGGAUGUUUCAGUUCUCACAUCUUUUCUACAGGACGAGAAAGUGAAAGAAAGUUAUGUAUGAAGAAUGUCGUUCAUACUGGAUGGCUGAACAUAAGGAAGAACGAGAUCUUCCUUUACACUGUGUGAAGUGUUCCAGAGGAACAGGCUGGAAGUUUUUGUGGGAAGAAGUAAACUGGAUACUGUACUGAUACUAUUCAAUGCAAUGCAAUUCAAUGCAAUGAAAACAAAAUUCCAUUACAGGGGCAGUGCCUUUGUAGCCUAUGUCUUGUAUGGCUCUAUGUGAAAAAGACUUGAAUUUAGUUUAUUACCUUUACCUAUGUGAAACUCUAGUAUGGAACCCAGUGGACAUUUGGGUUUGAAGUCAUACUUUUUUGUUCCUGUGUAUCCUCACUGGGAUUGCAGCAACAAUUCAUCAAAUAACCAUGGCCAGUGAUUAUCAAAAUCAAAGGCGUACAUCCUCAUCCAUUAAGCCAUCCCAUUCCAGGAGACCGGUUUCCUGGUGACACAACCAUUGCUGGCAAUGAGUGUGCCAGAAUUACUAGUGCCAAGUUGCUCAGAAAGUCUGAAACACCAUAGUGUGUAACAUACACCUUUGUAAAGCUGCUCUUCUCAGAGUCUAUCAACAUCAUUAAAUAUCAGGUGACAAAAUGGUGCCAUGUACGGCUAACGUCCUUCUUUGAGUCCCUUUUUGAUGAGCUGCUUUGGUGGCUGUAAUAUGUAAAGUAUGGAUAUCUCUACACACAGGAAACUUGGUUCCAUUGUUAUGUUGCCCCAUUCUUGGGAGCCAUGGGUUUCUAGGGUCUUUCUGGGACUGUUUAAAUCUACUUAGAUCCUGGUAAGAAGCAAAGGCUCAGCAGCCAAACUGUUGGAACUGUAAGUUGCUGAAGUCAAGGCAUGGGAUUAAAGAGAUGGUGUAUUCAAACCUAGUGCCCAUUUGUCCUGAUUGCUAACACGGUACACUGCAUCUCAAAAAUUUUGUUAUUUGACACAGGUGUAGUAUUAUUUCUGGCUUUUCGAAUUAAUCUAGAAAUGAAAAGAUUGAGUUAUAUUUUGACAAAAAUCUUUGUACUAUUAUGUCAUUUGGAAUUUUCAGUUAUAUCAGUGAUUUCUGAAACCUUAGAAUGACCUCUUUUAGGACCUGUGGUAUAGAGGAGUAUGGUCACACUGCCUCACUAGCUUUAUUUUUCCUAUACAAAUUUGCAGAUAGAAUGUCUGACUAGUGCCUAGUGACUAGAAAACAACAUGGUGGUCAAGAUCUCAUGAUAUUGUUGUUGAAUUUAAAAUCACGUAGAAUACUCUUAAAUCAGUUCAUCAAUCAAGUAUUUUUUGAGUAUAUGCUAUAGCUGAAUGUGUACGUAUAGAUGGAUGGAUAGAGAGGAGAAAUUAAGAAGAGAAAUUAAGUCUCAGUAGAUUUCCCAUGCCAUGUUAUUCAGCUAACUGGUUUACAAAAGAUAGGUUGUUUUAUUGUGAUUAUGGAAGCCCACUUAAAGAAUAUUGGCUAGACUUUUUUUUUCUUUUAAUAGCAACAGUGCAAAAGCCAGAAAAGGUCGCAAGGCUGAACAAUGGAUUCUUUCAAAGAGAAAUCAGCUAGCUUGGGAACUUGUUGAAUACAACUUGUACUUAUGACAUUUAGUACCUCCACAUAAUUGGUUCUGCAGAAAUGUUAGACACCCCAUUAAAUCUCUGACAAUCUCAAAUUUUGCAUCUCUUUAAUCAUUAAACUAUCCUGAAAAAAAUAAAAACAGCAAAUGCUUCCACAAAGAAUAGUUUUCAGACUUAAUCUUAUUUUAAUUUUUAAAUUAAAAAUAUUAUUUCACUAAUGCUCAGUGUCAUCUUUCUUGAGACAAAACAAAAAUAUGAGGGAAUUGCUAUUUGGCAAAGUUCAAGUGAACUUUCAAUAUCAUCAUUAAUUUAUUUUAACUAUUUCUAAAAUUUAAAUAUUAACUCUAAAGGUAUACAAUUUCAGAUAUAUUUCAAAUGUGUAUGUAUAUAUAUGUGAAUAUAUAUACAUAUAUAUUUAGAUUCAUAGACUGUUAAGUAACUCCUUGCUUUAAAAGAAAAAUGAUUUUCAAAAAAUUAAUGUCAUUAUUUUCUAAAAUGAUAAAGCAUAUUUUCAAUAACUGUUAGCAUGAGAUUACUACAUUCAUGACAUUUUCAAAGAUAUAAGAAUAAUUUAGUUUUUAAGAAUAAUUUAGUUUUUAAGAAUAAUUUAGUUUCUCAUUAAUUUUAAAAAUAAAAUAAAAAUCUGGUGGUUUUCUCAUUUCACCAUGAAUCACUCUCAUUCAUGAUAUUAAAUCCAUGAGUGACUCUUUGCUUCUAAUUACUCUGACUUCAAGGUCACAUUUUAAAACUUCAAAGGCACUGUGAACUAUUUUGAGAAAAAAAAAUUAAAUGUAGAUUUAAAAGAGUCUUUCUGAAGCUAGAAAUAAUAUACAGUUCUACAUUAACUUCAUUGUUAUUGUGUUACCUUUUAGACUAUCCAAAUAGUAAUCUUAAAGUUCCCUGUGUAAACUUAAUUAUGGUAGAAAUUUUUACCAACUCUAUCCUUAGAUAAAAUUUCUGUAUAUUAACUGUGGAAAUGUAACUAUGUGAGUUUCAUAAAUUCUCAAAAAGUGUUCAAAGAUUUCUGCUCUUGCAUCUUUUGGAUACCUUGGAAAACUUACUAACUGUGAAUAUAAAAAAUACAAAAGAAAAUAACAAGUCCUCUCUAUAUAAAUACCCAGCACUAUUCAUUGUUAUAAAACAAACAACCAAACCUCAACUACUGUAUUUUGAUAUCUGUACUGAAAGCAUUUCUUUGUGACUAUUAAAUGUUGCACAUCAUUCAUUCACUGUAUAGUAAUCAUUGACUAAAGGGAUUUGUCUAUGUUUUCUUCUCAUGGUUGUAUAUAUCAGGUAAAAUUUUUUCCAAAGAGCCAUGUGUUAUGUAAUAAUGAACCACUUUGAUACUGAGAUAUUAAUUUGUAUUUACUAGUAAUAAUGUAAUACCAUAGUUAAUACUGCUCUAAUUCUUUUCAAAAUUGUUGCAUCCCUUUUUAUAGAAUGUUUAUAUUUCCAUAAGGAUUAGGUAUGCUAUUAUUCCUUCUUAUACCCUUGGGUAAAGCUGUUUUUGUGCUUUUUCUUUAUCAUUGGCCCUUCAUUCCAAGCACUUUAUGCUAUCUGUAAUGGAUCUAUUUUUGCACUGGAAUAUCUGAGAAUUGCAAAACUAGACAAAAGUUUCACAAUAGAUUUCUAAGUUAAAUCAUUUUCAUUAAAAGGAAAAAAAAAACAAAAAAAUUUGUAUUGUCAAUAACUUUAUAUGAUGUAUUAAAAAGGCUUAUUUCUAUGUUGUAUUGAGUCACGAAAUAAACCUGUGACAGUUCUGUUGUCUAUGCAAAUUUACUUUUGUGGAUUCACAGCACCACCUGCUGUUGAAGUGUUAAUAAAGCCUUGCAAAAGUAAGAAGAAAUGUCCCACAUAGAUCUGGGGAUGC
rnacentral:lncRNA from 1 species